rnacentral:lncRNA from 1 species
CACAACAAUGCUAGAACAAGGAACCUAUGUGUGGUGGUGUCAGGGUACACCACUGGGCUCAGAAUUUCUAAACUACCUUUGAGUGGGGAAUGAAGACUGGAGAGCUUUCCACAUACACAGAGCCGAAGAAUCAUUUAUAGGACAGUAAGCCUUUCACUAACAGAGAUCCCUGCUCAAUGUAUGGAGAAAAAGGAGGCAACACAAGAAACUGUACAUCCUCUGAUGUCAUCUCUAUGUUGCGGACUCACUUUGAUAACAACUUUUCACAUGAGAGGAUCCGUGGCUUUCAGAGAUGGAAUGGAGAGAGGGAGAUGUAAAAAGACCACAAGAAGGAGGAGAAUGAAACAAGAACAAAAGAAGAAGGAGGAUGAGAACCAAAGAAAGCUUACGGUGCCCCU